AUGAUGGGUUUGGCAGUGCUUAUUAAAAUCAAGAAGCGUCAGAGAAGUAGGGUUUUGUGGCUAAAGGCCGGUGAUGCGAACACGAAAUUCUUCCAGCGGAAAGCCAAUGCUUGCCACAACAGGAACACCAUCCACUUGUUGCAUGGUCCGAACGGCGCGGCCACGACUCCGGAUGCUAUGGCUGAACUUGCGCAUGACCACUUCAAAGGCAUUUUCGGCACGAACAAGCUUAGAUCCUCGGCUCUUAAUUGGGAUGCCCUUGAGCUCGAGCACGUAGACCUCGCAGACCUCGAGCAGGAGCUGUCCCUGGACGAGAUCAAGCGCGCCAUCGAUAACAUUCCGUCCGACAAAGCUCCGGGGCCGGACGGUUUCUCGGGCAGUUUUUUUAGAGCUUGCUGGGACAUCAUCAAGCUAGACUUGCUUGCAGCUCUGAAUCAGCUCUUCCAGAUGGACAGCCACGGGCUUGACCGUGUUAACCGUGCUCUCAUCAUUCUAAUGCCGAAAAAGCUGGGUGCGGAUGCCAUCCAGGACUUCAGAUCGAUCUCGUUACUCCACAGCAUGGUCAAAAUCUUCUCAAAGAUUCUCGCCCUAAGGCUGGGUCCAAAGCUCGCUGACCUUGUGGAUCAGUGCCAAAGUGCCUUCAUUAAAAAACGAAGCAUCCAGGAAAACUUCAUCCAUGUCCAGAACACUACUCGAUUCUUUCAUAAGACCAAAAAACCUGCCAUCCUUCUGAAGCUUGACAUUGGAAAAGCCUUCGAUUCGAUCUCGUGGGCAUAUAUCAUUGAUAUGCUUGAGGCUAGAGGUUUUGGCCCGCGGUGGCGGAAUUGGGUUGCUAUGCUGCUGCGUUCCUCAACCUCCAAUGUGAUGAUCAAUGGGCAACAAUCGGAGGCAAUCCUGCACCAUUGUGGUCUUCGGCAGGGAGACCCGCUCUCCCCGUUCUUAUUCAUCUUGGCUAUGGACCCUUUGCAGCGGAUGUUCUCCUUGGCCACGGAGAACGGAGUCCUCUCCAAGCUUUCCGGUCGCAGGCGGGUGCAGCGCUACUCCUUCUAUGCCGACGACGUCGCACUUUUCAUGAACCUCUACGAAGAUGACACACGAAUGGUCAGCCUUCUGUUACGCUGUUUUGCGUCUGCAACUGACCUCCGUGCUAACGCGGGCAAGAGCUUGGCCUUGCCGAUCCGCUGUGGCUCGUUGGAUUUAGCGCGUAUCCUAUCGCCUCUAGGCAUCCCGAUCAGGCAAUUCCCGACGUUGUACCUCGGCAUGCCUCUAUCUCUUUGCAACCUAACGAAAAUCGACCUAGAUCCCUUUCUGAUCAAAUUUGGGAACAAAGUAGCAACCUGGAAAGGUGGCCUCAUGGCCAAAAGUGGUAGGAUGGUUCUUCUAAAAAUCGGGCUUAUCCCCCUUGCUGCUUACAUGAUGACAGUGCACGAGCUGCCGGCCUGGGUCCUUAAGCGCAUGAUAAAAAUUUGUCAGUCCUGGCUAUGGAGUGGAGAGUCUUCGGCGAGCGGCGGUAACUGCAGGGUAGCCUGGAACCUUAUAUGUCGCCCAAAGCAUCUAGGUGGCCUGGGUGUGCUCGACUUGGCCAAGUUCGGAAGAGCCCUCAGACUCCGCUAG
rnacentral:rRNA from 1 species